rnacentral:rRNA from 1 species
AGGACGAACGCUGGCGGCGUGCUUAACACAUGCAAGUCGAGCGGUAAGGCCUUUCGGGGUACACGAGCGGCGAACGGGUGAGUAACACGUGGGUGAUCUGCCCUGCACUUCGGGAUAAGCCUGGGAAACUGGGUCUAAUACCGGAUAUGACCUCCUAUCGCAUGGUGGGUGGUGGAAAGAUUUAUCGGUGCAGGAUGGGCCCGCGGCCUAUCAGCUUGUUGGUGGGGUAAUGGCCUACCAAGGCGACGACGGGUAGCCGACCUGAGAGGGUGACCGGCCACACUGGGACUGAGACACGGCCCAGACUCCUACGGGAGGCAGCAGUGGGGAAUAUUGCACAAUGGGCGAAAGCCUGAUGCAGCGACGCCGCGUGAGGAUGACGGCCUUCGGGUUGUAAACCUCUUUCAGCAGGACGAAGCGCAAGUGACGGUACCUGCAGAAGAAGCAACCGGCUAACGUACGUGCCAGCAGCCGC